AGCCUGAUGCAGCGACGCCGCGUGAGGGAUGAAGGCCUUCGGGUUGUAAACCUCUUUCAGCAGGGAAGAAGCGCAAGUGACGGUACCUGCAGAAGAAGCGCCGGCUAACUACGUGCCAGCAGCCGCGGUAAUACGUAGGGCGCAAGCGUUGUCCGGAAUUAUUGGGCGUAAAGAGCUCGUAGGCGGUUUGUCGCGUCUGCUGUGAAAACUCGAGGCUCAACCUCGGGCUUGCAGUGGGUACGGGCAGACUAGAGUGCGGUAGGGGAGACUGGAAUUCCUGGUGUAGCGGUGGAAUGCGCAGAUAUCAGGAGGAACACCGAUGGCGAAGGCAGGUCUCUGGGCCGCAACUGACGCUGAGGAGCGAAAGCAUGGGGAGCGAACAGGAUUAGAUACCCUGGUAGUCCAUGCCGUAAACGUUGGGCACUAGGUGUGGGGCUCAUUCCACGAGUUCCGUGCCGCAGCAAACGCAUUAAGUGCCCCGCCUGGGGAGUACGGCCGCAAGGCUAAAACUCAAA
rnacentral:rRNA from 1 species